AUUGAACGCUGGCGGCAGGCCUAACACAUGCAAGUCGAACGGUAACAGGAAACAGCUUGCUGUUUCGCUGACGAGUGGCGGACGGGUGAGUAAUGUCUGGGAAACUUCCUGAUGGAGGGGGAUAACUACUGGAAACGGUAGCUAAUACCGCAUAACGUCGUAAGACCAAAGAGGGGGACCUUCGGGCCUCUUGCCAUCGGAUGUGCCCAGAUGGGAUUAGCUAGUAGGUGGGGUAACGGCUCACCUAGGCGACGAUCCCUAGCUGGUCUGAGAGGAUGACCAGCCACCCUGGAACUGAGACACGGUCCAGACACCUACGGGAGGCAGCAGUGGGGAAUAUUGCACAAUGGGCGCAAGCCUGAUGCAGCCAUGCCGCGUGUAUGAAGAAGGCCUUCGGGUUGUAAAGUACUUUCAGCGGGGAGGAAGGGAGUAAAGUUAAUACCUUUACUCAUUGACGUUACCCGCAGAAGAAGCACCGGCUAACUCCGUG
rnacentral:rRNA from 1 species